ACAGGAUAUGUUCGCUGCCAGAGGAAGCGGGAGCUGCCAUAGCCCGGGGUCAGGAAAGGAGGAGUCAGCAGCACCCGAAGGAAACGGGCGCGCCAGGGCCGGCAGGGACCUGGCUAGCUGAGGGUGUCUGGUUCCAGGCGGGUCCGAGGCUGGUGACCACCUCGUUGGCAGGGCACCAGGCUCAGGCCUCCCGGCACCAGUGGUGAUACAGCGGUGCCCAUCUGCUCCCUGCCACCUCCGCCAAAGAUGGGUCCUGGGGUGAAGGGAAAAGGCACACACCAGGCGCCGCGGCAGGAAAGAACCAAACCCGGUGUUUGAGUGCCCUGCAGGGAUCACCUGAAGAAAAAGUGCUGGAAUGGCCAUGAAGCCAGGCAUUCGCAACUGUCAUCCAUAUCCAGUGGAUUGAGAAGAAAGGAACUGAUGGAGGCUGAGCCUAUGAGAAGCCUGAAGACACAGAAGAUAUACUAUUACCUAAGGAACGGUUGAAUUCAUCAUGUAGUCCAAAGGCUGUGACAGAA